GCCGGGCAUGGUGGCAUGUGCCUGUAGUCCCAGCUACUCGGGAGGCUGAGGUGGGAGGAUCACUUGAGCCCAGGAGUUCUGGGCUGUAGUGCGCUAUGCUGAUCAGGUGUCCGCACUAAGUUCGGCAUCAAUAUGGUGACCUCCCGGGAGUGGGAGACCACCAGGUUGCCUAAGGAGGGGUGAACCGGCCCAGGUUGGAAACGCAGCAGGUCAAAACUCCUGUGCUGAUCAGUAGUAGGGUUGCACCUGUGAAUAGCCACCACUGCACUCCAGCCUGGGCAACAUAGCAGGACCCCAUCUCAU
rnacentral:SRP_RNA from 1 species